CGGAGUGUAGCUCAGCCUGGUAGAGCACUGUCUUCGGGUGGCAGGGGUCGUGAGUUCGAAUCUCGCCACUCCGACCA
rnacentral:tRNA from 1 species